UAGUUUGACUGGGGCGGUCUCCUCCUAAAGAGUAACGGAGGAGCACGAAGGUUGGCUAAUCCUGGUCGGACAUCAGGAGGUUAGUGCAAUGGCAUAAGCCAGCUUGACUGCGAGCGUGACGGCGCGAGCAGGUGCGAAAGCAGGUCAUAGUGAUCCGGUGGUUCUGAAUGGAAGGGCCAUCGCUCAACGGAUAAAAGGUACUCCGGGGAUAACAGGCUGAUACCGCCCAAGAGUUCAUAUCGACGGCGGUGUUUGGCACCUCGAUGUCGGCUCAUCACAUCCUGGGGCUGAAGUAGGUCCCAAGGGUAUGGCUGUUCGCCAUUUAAAGUGGUACGCGAGCUGGGUUUAGAACGUCGUGAGACAGUUCGGUCCCUAUCUGCCGUGGGCGCUGGAGAACUGAGGGGGGCUGCUCCUAGUACGAGAGGACCGGAGUGGACGCAUCACUGGUGUUCGGGUUGUCAUGCCAAUGGCACUGCCCGGUAGCUAAAUGCGGAAGAGAUAAGUGCUGAAAGCAUCUAAGCACGAAACUUGCCCCGAGAUGAGUUCUCCCUGAGACUUUAGGUCUCCUGAAGGAACGUUGAAGACGACGACGUUGAUAGGCCGGGUGUGUAAGCGCAGCGAUGCGUUGAGCUAACCGGUACUAAUGAACCGUGAGGCUUAACCUUACAACGCCGAAGAUGUUUUGGCGGAUGAGAAGACGAUUUUCAGCACUGAUUNNNNNNNNNNNNNNNNNNNNGCGGAUGAGAGACGAUUUUCAGCACUGAUUCCAGAUUACAUCAGAACGUAAAAACGGUCUGAUAACAGAAUUUGCCUGGCGGCAGUAGCGCGGUGGUCCCACCUGANNNNNNNNNNNNNNNNNNNNUAGCGCGGUGGUCCCACCUGACCCCAUGCCGAACUCAGAAGUGAAACGCCGUAGCGCCGAUGGUAGUGUGGGGUCUCCCCAUGCGAGAGUAGGGAACUGCCAGGCAUCAAAU
rnacentral:rRNA from 1 species